AUUGAACGCUGGCGGCAUGCUUUACACAUGCAAGUCGAACGGCAGCGCGGGCUUCGGCCUGGCGGCGAGUGGCGAACGGGUGAGUAAUACAUCGGAACGUGCCCAGUAGUGGGGGAUAGCUCGGCGAAAGCCGGAUUAAUACCGCAUACGACCUGAGGGUGAAAGCGGGGGAUCUUCGGACCUCGCGCUAUUGGAGCGGCCGAUGGCAGAUUAGCUAGUUGGUGGGGUAAAGGCCUACCAAGGCGACGAUCUGUAGCUGGUCUGAGAGGACGACCAGCCACACUGGGACUGAGACACGGCCCAGACUCCUACGGGAGGCAGCAGUGGGGAAUUUUGGACAAUGGGCGAAAGCCUGAUCCAGCAAUGCCGCGUGUGUGAUGAAGGCCUUCGGGUUGUAAAGCACUUUUGGCGGGAACGAAAAGGACUGUGCCAAUACCACGGUUCGAUGGCGGUACCCGCAGAAUAAGCACCGGCUAACUACGU
rnacentral:rRNA from 1 species